UAUCGCUCCUGCCCAGCUGUGUCCCAAAUCUCAAACUUGACUGUUGUGUCAUCUAGACAAACAGACUGGGUAAGGAAGGCCGCUGUGGAUGAGAGAAUGGAGGGGAAGAAGUUGAUUUCCGUUCCAGAGAGCUAAAAAGGGCAGCUCCACAAUCAGGUCUCUAGAUCUCCCUUCAAAAAGCCUCACUACACACUGAACCUCCUCUUUCCCUGAGAGGGUCCCAGGUGGCUGACACUCAGUGGUAAGAAUGCGGAACAAUAAAAUAAAAAUUGCAUCGGAAGUGGAGUCUGCCCUACUACAUAAUCUCCAACUGCUAAGGGAGCUGAAAUGGAGAGACUGAAAAUGGUAUGAAAUAAGUUUAUUUCCCAUUACUUUUCCACCAGAUCUUCAAACAGCAAAUUGAUCAAUUUUUAGUUGGCCCGAAGAACACCCAA